UACCUGCUCCUGUUUGCUUUAGACGUAUCGGCUGGGUUUCUCGACCUAUGACUCAUGGACCUGUGACUGCGAUACGUGGACGGCCCGUUCCGGGUGGUCCGCCUGUUCCCGACUGUCCAGACAUGUGUCUGCCCAGCCGUCCGUCGUACAGGCAGGGGAGGGAGGACACGCCCCCCCACUACCGGAUGGCAGCGAGUCUCGCAGAGCUCCCGUCCCGGGAGACGGUCCAGCCCGUCACGUACCCUUCGGCAAACAUCCAAGACAACCAGCUGGAAUGAUUGGAAGCCAGAGCGAGAGUCUUCGGAUGAGAGCAUCCGGAAGGCAGACAUCUGGCGGGGACCGGGCCGGGCGAGAGGUAAAGGGCCGAGUGCAAGAGGAAAUCUGCUGAAUCGCCGUCUAGUUAAUCUAAUCAUGCCACUCUCUGCAUACAAGCACCCCCCCCUCACCCCGAGGGAGACAAAAAGCAGCCGUCACUGGAGGUAUGUGCACUGGGGAGAUGAGAAUGGCAGCCACACUGAGAAUCAAAAACAAGCCAAACCAGUCUGCGACGAGCAUCAGAAGAGGCUGCUGGAUCUCCACUUCCCCAUUGCCUACAUGUCCAUCUUCCCUUCCCAGACCACCCACUAAUGGAUGCUGACCCAUGCUGUCUACCAGAAGGAAUGGCCUGUUUGCUGCACUAUUGAAACUGCCACCUGUUGCACUCCAAAGCCCAAGCUUGCAAUGCUUGCAAAUCCCACAGCAAAGUUAUUUAUUUUAAUUCAGUGAUCAAUACUUGACUGCCGAACUGUUAACUGUGCUGCUAUGUGUGGCAUUUUUAAAAUACUUCUCUAAACAUUA